CCCUUAGAUGUUCUGGGCUGCACGCGCGCUACACUGAUGCACUCAACGAGUUUACGACUUUGCCCGAGAGGGUUGAGUAAUCUUUUUAAAAUGCAUCGUGAUGGGGAUAGAUUAUUGCAAUUAUUAAUCUUCAACGAGGAAUUCCUAGUAAGCGCGAGUCAUCAGCUCGUGCUGAUUACGUCCCUGCCCUUUGUACACACCGCCCGUCGCUCCUACCGAUUGAGUGUUCCGGUGAAAUCUCGGGACGGCGGCUUGGUCGCUUGCGUCCGACUGCUGAAACUUGAUUAAACCAUAUCAUUUAGAGGAAGGUGAAGUCGUANCA
rnacentral:rRNA from 1 species